AUGGAGUAGGCCCACACUCUUAUAUUCAGUUAUGAGUGCAGGCCUCCUGUAUUUGGUAGUUUCGUUUGCAGUUUACAGAGUUUGCAGUAGUGGAUUUUUAUUUGCUGUUGUAAAGCUUUAAUUUACUGCAGUAUGUUUGGAUUGAAAAAAAAGAAAACUAGCAACAAGAUCAAUAUAAAAUAUCAAAUUGACAUUCUGCUUAACUGGUCUGUUUUCUUGACCACAGGGCACAGUGGGCAAAGCUCACAUCCCUACAGACAGGCUGCAGUGCGUCUGGGGCUGCUGUGUGCUCUCUUAUUGGCUGCCACAUUAGUCCUGUGUGUCCUCUAUACAAGUCAAUCAGGCAACUAUUCAAUGUUGAAGAGAGACCUGGAGGAGCUCACAACCAGUUGCAGCACCAUGAAUAAAGAGAAGGUCCAGCAACCGAAGAACUAUUCAAUGUUGGAGAGAGACCUGGACAAGCUCAGAACCAGUUGCAACACCAUGAAGGUCCAACAACAGGGUAAGUACAAUGAAAUAUUUAAGAAACCCGCCUUCUUGGAGCAGUACUGCCCCUCCAGUUCACAGAGUGAGUGGUGCUACUCUGUUGUGCAUCUGCAGAAAAGCAUUUACAUUUACACUAUUACAUACGAAAAUGUAAUUCUCAGAGUCUGCUGCCUGUUCCUCCUGUACAGACAGAGUGUGUGAACCCUGUCCACAGGGCUGGUCACAGUUCUCUUCCAAGUGUUACUACUUCUCUAAUGAGAAGAGGAACUGGAUGGGCAGUCGCAAUGACUGCAUUAAAAGGGGAGCUGACCUGGUGAUU